UCAAUUUUAACAAAAAGUAAAAGGAUGAUCAAGUGGAGCUUAUCCCCAGGGGUCCGUCCAUCAGUGUUCUUGUGACCGUCACUUUUGUGUGCCUCCCCAGAAGAUGUGGUCAGGCAACAGAGGCUUGGAGAGCGAGGAACCCGUCUUUGACACAAGCCCCUGGGUCUUUUGGACGUCAGGUCCGGCUCCUGAUGGACCCCAGUGGGGGAAUACAGAGACCAGGCAGGGCAUGGACCCAAGGGGCCAAGCUGCAUGCAGAGCUCCCGGGAUCUGACGUGGACCACUUUCCAGGACCAUUCGUCCAGGCGGGCGCCGAGGGGCCCUGGGCUGGGAACUGCCACACUGGCUCAUCCCUCCGAGUGAAGGUCAGGCUGCUGACCGCUGUGCAUUCUCCUGGAUGGGCUUGGUGGUCUGGCCCCCGAGAUUGAGACCAGUUUCCUGAAACCAUGGUAGGCAGUGUGAGGGAGCUGUCAAGAGCAGAGCAAGGAGCUCGCAUCAGACAGGCCUGUGUUUCAAACCAGCUGUGCGUCCUCCGCCUUCCAGGGCUUCAGCAUCCACCUCUGUUAAGUGGGGAUAAUCAUAGCCCCCACCUCGCUGAGUUGUGAGAGUUCAAUGAGGUAACAUUCAUAAAGUUCUCAUCCAUUAUUAUUAUUAUUAUUAUUAUUAUUGAAGGUCUAAUUGGGUUUAAUCAGCAAUUCAUGAGUCAGGCAGCCCCUCCUAGCAACCAGAAGCACCUUUUCAGCAGUUUUUGUUGUUGCUGUUGCCAUUAUUUCACAACCUCAGGUGCCAGAAAUUGAAAAACAAGGGUUUUUCAGAGCCGAAUUCCACCCAGAAAGUCCACGAAGCUGCCCACAGACCCCCACACACCCCACACCUCCAGCAUCCUCACAUCUUUCAUGAGAAUGGACCAGGGCAUGCAGGACCCCUGACCUGCUCCAUUUCCCACCCUAGGCUGGAAAUGCCCAACGCAUGUGCAGACAGACCAGAAAAGGGGCCGUGCCCUCCCCAAACUGAGAAGGGAGGCAAGUCAGGAGGCCGCUUGGGGAGGGAGUACAUGCAUAUUGCAGCAAGUUGCAGCAUACGUUGCAGAUGCGGCUUGGAUCCUGCAUUGCUGUGGCUGUGGUGUAGGCUGGCAGCUGCAGCUCUGAUUCAACCCCUAGCCUGGAAACCUCCAUAUGCCACGGGUGUGGCCCUAAAAAGAAAAAAAAAGUGAUCUGGGUAAGAGGAGGGGGCGUUUUAAGGAAAGGGAGACUAUGAUGGUUACUUAAGACAAUGCUUUGGAAAAAAUGAAAGAAAGAGCACCAUGAUGGAGAAGGAACAAGAGUCUGUCCAUGUUGCAGAAGGAAAAGAUAACCAGAUAAGAGGAUGUCAGGAGAGUUGAGUGACAGUGUCUUAGUAACUGGCAAAGCUAUGAUGCCAACCAAAUCAGAUCUGUCCAAAAUGAUCACUGGUGAGCAUUGGUGGUAUAGUGGUGAGCAUAGCUGCCUUCCAAAAUGAUCAUUGGAAGAAAAAUCUCAUGAUGUUUAAAAAUAGAAAAUUAUAUUCUCAAAUCAGUGUUUACGUACACACAAAAACAGGGAUCAGGCAGCAGAAAGUAGAAACUAUAGUUUAAUGUCAUUCGUCUCCUUUUUCAUGGCUGCCAUGUCAUCCCAGAUCUUGAUAAUCAUAGAGAGACCUGAAUCCUCUUUAUUUAAAGGCUCACAUUAGUACCAUUGACACUGUUUUCCAUCUUUCACUUCACUAGAGGGAAAAAGAAGAAAAUAGUAUCUCCAUAUCAAGGGUAUUAAAGAAAGGAAAUUUGCAAGGUUUUAUUGAAACAGAACAUACAACAAAGGAGAGAAGGAAUGAAGUGGAGUUCCUGUUGUGGCUCAGCAGGUUGAGAACCCAACAUAGUGUCCGAGGAGGAUGGGGGUUCAAUCCCUGGCCUCACUCAGUGGGUUAAGGAUCAUGAUGUGGCUGUGAGCUGCAGCACAGGCCACGAGCUGCAGCUCUGAUUCAACUCCUAGCCCAGGAACUUCCAUAUGCCACAGGUGCGGCUGU
rnacentral:lncRNA from 1 species